rnacentral:rRNA from 1 species
UAGUCCACGCUGUAAACGAUGAUCACUCGUUGUUGGCGAUACACUGUCAGCGACUGAACGAAAGUAUUAAGUGAUCCACCUGGGAAUUACGAUCGCAAGGUUGAAACUCAAAGGAAUUGACGGGGGCCCGCACAAGCGGUGGAGCAUGUGGUUUAAUUCGAUGAUACGCGAGGAACCUUACCUGGGCUUAAAUGUUAGACGCCAGACCCCGAAAGGGGUUUUUCCUUCGGGACGUCUUACAAGGUGCUGCAUGGUUGUCGUCAGUUCGUGCCGUGAGGUGUCGGGUUAAGUCCCAUAACGAGCGCAACCCCUAUUCUUAGUUGCCAUCAGGUAAUGCUGGGGACUCUAAGAAAACUGCCUACGCAAGUAGUGAGGAAGGUGGGGAUGACGUCAAAUCAGCACGGCCCUUAUGUCCAGGGCUACACACGUGCUACAAUGGCCGGUACAGAGGGUAGCUACCUGGUGACAGGAUGCCAAUCUCGAAAGCCGGUCUCAGUUCGGAUUGGAGUCUGCAACUCGA